AGGCCGGGGCCGGGGCGGGGGCGCGCGGGGGCCGGGGUGGGGGUGUCUCGCCGCGCGCGCGCCCUCCUUCCGCUCCUCCGGGUCCUUGGUCCCCAGCCUGUAGGGGGCUUGGGCUGUAGCGCUGGGGCGGGGGCUUUAGAUCCCCCCAAAAACAGGACCUCUGGCGACCUUCUCGUUUUCCACCGGGAGCGGAGACAGCCGAUCUCCUUUUCCUGCUAGCCCCGUAGGACAGUCUCCGGAGCAGCUCAUAGGAAUAUGACGAACGUUUACUCAGGGCUGGUUACUAUGUACACUGCGCCCCGCGCGCGGCUGGUUUACCUCGGUUCACCUCCCGGCAACCGGCGGCCCGGAUAUUAUCAGAUGCGGGGGACUGGGCGGCGCCUCAUUGCCCGAGGAGAGGCGGCCUCAAGUACCUGAGCUGGAGCUAGCACCAGGCUUCCUUUUCCCCAUGAGAUGGCAGAAUGGCUGCUUACAACUUCAAAUCACACCCUUUCCAGCAGAAACGGAGUUUCUUUUCCCUGAUGCUGUCAACAAAAGUCCCAGGACUACAUCUCAUUGGUCGAACUUGUGUUACCCGUGCAUCACUAAACCACUCUCCUGAGAAGAAGCAUGGAACAUUCUGACAGCUCCUCUCAAAUCGCAUGGGCUGAGAUUUGGGGAGAGCUGGCUUCCUGUGCUAGGUCAUUUCUGUUGGCCCUUCCAGAUCUACUCUCCACCCUUUUCCUUCCUGAUUUGAGCCUCAAGAGGCCAACCUGCAUGGACUGCUUCCACAGGUCCCUUGUCCUCUGACUUACAGUUGAAUUCACCAAAUAGAAGACAUUGGAAAUGAGACCCAAGGGUUGGAGGAGGAGGAACGUAAGGGUUUUAUUCCUCUGGCCCCUGCCCUUCUGGGUUGCUGCAGGUUGGCUACAUGCAUUUAUUGAAGCUUCUGUCAACUGGCCUUCUUCACACAGGUACUCUCUCCUAGUUCUAGUAAAUUCUCCUUUCUCCACCUCCAGAAUUAUCCACCCUGGAGGUGAUAAUGGCUCCCCUCUGUUGCUUGCCACAGUGUAUCACACCAUCAGACCUGCUUUUUCCCUCAACCCUGCCCGCACAUCUGUAUGGAACCUUUACUAAACCCUCUUUAGAUUAAUCAUCUGCUGGGAUGCUGAUGGUUACAUUCACCAAAGGAGAUUCAAGUUUCUAUUACCAAAAGAAAGGGGAAUGAAUCAAGGGCAGGCAACAGCACUACGGUAGUGAUACUGGUUUGGAAGAAGUAUCACCACAAGUGCAGACCAGAGAUGACUGUGGCUCGGACAGGGUCAUGAUGGGGGAAGCAAUGAGAAAUGGUAGGAUUCUGGCUAUAUCUCAGAGGAAGUGUUAACACAGUUUACUGAGGAAUUGUAUGUAAAUUAUGAGUGGUAGAGAGGAGCUGAGGAUGGAAACAGUUGGAAAACAUGCAUCUGGAGCCUAGGAGUGAGCUCAAUGAGUAGUGAUUGGGACGGAGGCGCGGUAGUUAGUUGAAACCACGGGCUCAGAUGAAAUCACCCCAGGAGCGCAUGUAGAAUAGAACACAGAAAAGGCAAAGGGCAGAAUCUAGAAGAACAAACACCAGCCUUUCCAUGGUGAACAGAGGAAGAGUUGCCAUCUUGUAUCUAUCAUCUAGAUCGUGAGCAACUCGAUAACCUGAGAACAAGAACAGAAUCUUCCACAUCCUUCCUCUUUACUAUCAUGUCUAGCGAGGUGAUGACCACAUGGUGGGUAAUAAAUGCUUGUUAUGAAUGAA